GCAGGACUCACCAAUCCUUCCUUUGUGUCCUACAGACUUCUACCUCAGCUCCUGAAACAUUCCAGCUAAAGAUUUGUGUUGUCACAAGCCCAGGAAUCAUCUACUGCUGAAGCCACAUAGAUGCAGAGAUUUUCACCUGCGUGGUUACUGGAGCUCUUCAGUCUCCAUAUUUUGUCAGUGGAGGAAACUUAAGCCUGGAGAGGGGCGUGAACCCAACAUUUAGUGAAAACCAUAAAGCAAAUUCUUCCCCAAACGUGGUGGGCAGCUUCUGCCCUGAACCAUUGGAGAAUAUAGUGGAGCAGCCUGCAUCCCCCACAACCACCUACCCUCGCAAGAGGCUCUGUACCUCUCAGUGCCCACAGGCAUCAGUCGGGCAGAGACAGUGGAUAUUUUGUUGGCACCACCAACACACAAAUUCAUGAAUAAAGAGUCCCCUUGCUAAAUGGUCUCUUUGGUUAGGUAUCAGACAUUUUCUGGUUAGACACUGUUAUUUAGAUAUCAAUUGUAUUGAUGUCUAAAACUUUCUAGAUUUAGUUAGAAGUAAUUGUAAGUUUCUUAUAACUCUAAAAGCUACAAUUUGAUAUGAUAUUUUUGAGGGCCUAGGGGACAAAAGGUAUAUUGAUAUUGAUGAGUAGGCAUAUUAUAUCAUUCAAUCCUCACAACAAGAGUAUGAAGUAGACAUUACCAUACUAAUUAGUCUAAGAUUCAAAGGAGUCCUGUGAUU